CUCCCUGAAGAUGGCUGCAGAGGCCCAGGGCCGCGCUCCGCGAUGCUGACAACGUACCCUGGGCUGCGCCCGGGACUGGAGACGCGGGUCACCUGCCUCCGCGCCGCCUGGUCUCAGCAGUCCGGGGGACGCGCGCUACCAAGAGUGGAGAAUCCGAGUGGGGCGGGCCUAGUCCCGGGGCUGGGAAGAGAUAGUCGCAUGGACUGGGCGCCAAGAAGCCUGCUGAUCGCGCGCGCCCCACGGCCGCCCUGGUGAUGCAGAGGGGUGGCGUGAGAUGCUCGUGGAGCUGCGGCUGGUUCGGAGUGGAUGGGCAGAGUUCCCCUCUGAAAUUUCAUGAAGAUGCGUCUCCCACUCUCCACCGAAGUACUCAACGACCAGCACACGCAUACAAUUUUGAUGGAGUUUUUUGUUUUUUGUUAUGUUUUUUUAGCUCACCAGAAACUCAGAGAGUAAAGAAAUACUGUUAAAGGAAGUUCCUAAACUAGGCAGACAGUAUAACCCUGUGUGGUUUUCUUGGUGCAAGUGUUAGAAACAAAACCGAUACCAAGCAAGGAAGGAGGCCAGCCAACGUCAUUGGUCAACAGAUAAAAUAUUACUUUUGCAAAUUACAAAUGUUC
rnacentral:lncRNA from 1 species